GACGAACGCUGGCGGCGUGCUUAACACAUGCAAGUCGAACGGAAAGGCCCUGCUUUUGUGGGGUGCUCGAGUGGCGAACGGGUGCGUAACACGUGAGUAACCUGCCCUUGACUUUGGGAUAACUUCAGGAAACUGGGGCUACUACCGGAUAGGAGCUCCUGCUCCAUUGUGGGCGUUGGAUAGUUUCGGCGGGUGGGGAUGGACUCGCGGCUUAUCAGCUUGUUGGUGGGGUAGUGGCUUACCAAGGCUUUGACGGGUCGCCGGCCUGAGAGGGUGACCGGCCACAUUGGGACUGAGAGACGGCCCAGACUCCUACGGGAGGCAGCAGUGGGGAAUAUUGCACAAUGGGCGGAAGCCUGAUGCAGCAACGCCGCGUGCGGGAUGACGGCCUUCGGGUUGUAAACCGCUUUCGCCUGUGACGAAGCGUGAGUGACGGUAAUGGGUAAAGAAGCACCGGCUAACUACGUG
rnacentral:rRNA from 1 species